ACGGAAGGCAGCAGUGGGGAAUAUUGGACAAUGGGGGAAACCCUGAUCCAGCGACGCCGCGUGAGUGAAGAAGUAUUUCGGUAUGUAAAGCUCUAUCAGCAAGGAAGAAAAUGACGGUACUUGACUAAGAAGCUCCGGCUAAAUACGUGCCAGCAGCCGCGGUAAUACGUAUGGAGCAAGCGUUAUCCGGAUUUACUGGGUGUAAAGGGAGCGUAGACGGUAAAGCAAGUCUGAAGUGAAAUCCCGGGGCUCAACCCCGGAACUGCUUUGGAAACUGUUUAACUAGAGUGCAGGAGAGGUAAGCGGAAUUCCUAGUGUAGCGGUGAAAUGCGUAGAUAUUAGGAGGAACACCAGUGGCGAAGGCGGCUUACUGGACUGUAACUGACGUUGAGGCUCGAAAGCGUGGGGAGCAAACAGUAUUAGAUACCCUGGUA
rnacentral:rRNA from 1 species